rnacentral:rRNA from 1 species
CUUGACAUCCCGAUCGUACCUGCUGGAAACAGCGGGGUCAGCUCGGCUGGAUCGGAGACAGGUGCUGCAUGGCUGUCGUCAGCUCGUGUCGUGAGAUGUUGGGUUAAGUCCCGCAACGAGCGCAACCCUUGUCCUUAGUUGCCAUCAUUUAGUUGGGCACUCUAAGGAGACUGCCGGUGUUAAACCGGAGGAAGGUGGGGAUGACGUCAAGUCCUCAUGGCCCUUAUGUCCAGGGCUACACACGUGCUACAAUGGCCGGUACAAAGAGCAGCUAACUCGCGAGAGUAUGCAAAUCUCAAAAAGCCAUCCUCAGUUCGGAUUGGAGUCUGCAACUCGACUCCAUGAAGUUGGAAUCGCUAGUAAUCGCGGAUCAGCAUGCCCGCGGUCGAAUACGUUCCGGCCUU